UGGGAAUUUUGGACGAAUUGGGCGAAAGCCUGAAUCCAGCAAUGCCGCGUGUGUGAAGAAGGCCUUCGGGUUGUAAAGCACUUUUGUCCGGAAAGAAAUCCUUGGCUCUAAUACAGUCGGGGGAUGACGGUACCGGAAGAAUAAGCACCGGCUAACUACGUGCCAGCAGCCGCGGUAAUACGUAGGGUGCAAGCGUUAAUCGGAAUUACUGGGCGUAAAGCGUGCGCAGGCGGUUUGCUAAGACCGAUGUGAAAUCCCCGGGCUCAACCUGGGAACUGCAUUGGUGACUGGCAGGCUAGAGUAUGGCAGAGGGGGGUAGAAUUCCACGUGUAGCAGUGAAAAUGCGUAGAGAUGUGGAGGAAUACCGAUGGCGAAGGCAGCCCCCUGGGCCAAUACUGACGCUCAUGCACGAAAA
rnacentral:rRNA from 1 species